AACGUAGGAGGCAAGCGUUAUCCGGAGUUACUGGGCGUAAAGCGUGCGUAGGCGGGUCAGUAAGUGGGUGGUGAAAGCGCCCGGCUGAACCGGGGGAGGACCAUUCAGACUGCUGGUCUAGAGGCGGAUAGAGGGGUGCGGAAUUCCGGGUGUAGCGGUGAAAUGUGUAGAGAUCCGGAGGAACACCAGUGGUGCAAACGGCGCCCUGGGUCCGAACUGACGCUGAGGCACGAAAGCGUGGGGAGCGAACGGG
rnacentral:rRNA from 1 species